rnacentral:rRNA from 1 species
CCUACGGGGGGCAGCAGUGAGGAAUAUUGGUCAAUGGACGAGAGUCUGAACCAGCCAAGUAGCGUGAAGGAUGACUGCCCUAUGGGUUGUAAACUUCUUUUAUAUGGGAAUAAAAUGUUCCACGUGUGGGAUUUUGUAUGUACCAUAUGAAUAAGGAUCGGCUAACUCCGUGCCAGCAGCCGCGGUAAUACGGAGGAUCCGAGCGUUAUCCGGAUUUAUUGGGUUUAAAGGGAGCGUAUGUGGAUUGUUAAGUCAGUUGUGAAAGUUUGCGGCUCAACCGUAAAAUUGCAGUUGAAACUGGCAGUCUUGAGUACAGUAGAGGUGGGCGGAAUUCGUGGUGUAGCGGUGAAAUGCUUAGAUAUCACGAAGAACUCCGAUUGCGAAGGCAGUUCACUGGACUGCAACUGACACUGAGGCUCGAAAGUGUGGGUAUCAAACAGGAUUAGAUACCCCUGUAGUC